UACGUAGGGUGCGAGCGUUGUCCGGAAUUACUGGGCGUAAAGAGCUCGUAGGCGGUCUGUUACGUCUGCUGUGAAAACCCAGGGCUUAACCCUGGGCUUGCAGUGGAUACGGGCAGACUAGAGGCAGGUAGGGGAGAAUGGAAUUCCCGGUGUAGCGGUGAAAUGCGCAGAUAUCGGGAGGAACACCGGUGGCGAAGGCGGUUCUCUGGGCCUGACCUGACGCUGAGGAGCGAAAGCGUGGGGAGCGAACAGG
rnacentral:rRNA from 1 species